AUCAGCCUUUCGGGUGCGAUUCUGUGGGGUUUGAGGAGCUUAACACCUUCAUGCUUUGCAUAUUCGUGCUCUUGGGUGUACUUGCCCGUGUGGUUGGUUAACAUCAAUUUUGGUGGUCAUAAAAUGACUGGAGGAAUGUAGCUUCGAUCUUGUAUUGAAGUGUUAUAGCCUUCGGUAGAUGUGAUGAUCGAGAUUGAGGAUUGCAACGGAUACCCUUCGGGGCUACCUGUCUGAUCUCUGAUCGUUGUUCUGGUGCCGAAAGCUUGCUUACGGUUAUCAAAGUCGAUGGUCAAUAGGUUAGAACGGGUUAAAUUCGUUAAGGAUGUUGACGUAAUGGCUUU
rnacentral:rRNA from 1 species